rnacentral:rRNA from 1 species
GCAAGUCGAACGGUAACAGAGAAUAGCUUGCUAUUUUGCUGACGAGUGGCGGACGGGUGAGUAAUGCUUGGGAACAUGCCUUGAGGUGGGGGACAACAGUUGGAAACGACUGCUAAUACCGCAUAAUGUCUACGGACCAAAGGGGGCUUCGGCUCUCGCCUUUAGAUUGGCCCAAGUGGGAUUAGCUAGUUGGUAAGGUAAUGGCUUACCAAGGCGACGAUCUCUAGCUGGUUUGAGAGGAUGAUC